UUGGUUGAUCCUGCCAGUAGUCAUAUGCUUGUCUCAAAGAUUAAGCCAUGCAUGUGUAAGUAUAAAACAAAUUCAAACUGUGAAACUACGAAUGGCUCAUUCAAUCAGUUAUAGUUUGUUUGAUGGUAUCUACUACUCGGAUAACCAUAGUAAUUAUGGAGCUAAUACGUAGAACAAACCACGACUUGUGGAAGGGAUGCAUCUAUUAGAUAAAAGGUCGACGUGGGCUUUGCCAAUUAUUGCGAUGAUUCGUGAUAACUCGACGGAUCGUAUGGCCAUCGUGCCGGCGAUGCGUCAUUCACAUUUCUACCCUAUCAACCUGAAAUCCAAUCAUUUCUAACUUUUCAAAUAUGAAGUUUAUCGAUUGCUUGCAUCCUUGGAAGUAAAAGAACCACUAAGUGUUGAAAUAUAAGUAUGGAGAAUAACAUGGUGCCUGAAAUUUACUAGUUUGCCGCUAAGUGUUGAAUUAUACGUUCUAUGCCGAUCAAACACU
rnacentral:ncRNA from 1 species